rnacentral:rRNA from 1 species
UACAGAGGGGGCAAGCGUUGUUCGGAAUUACUGGGCGUAAAGGGCGCGUAGGCGGCCUGCUAAGUCGAACGUGAAAUCCCUGGGCUCAACCCAGGAACUGCGUCCGAUACUGGUUGGCUUGAAUCCGGGAGAGGGAUGUGGAAUUCCAGGUGUAGCGGUGAAAUGCGUAGAUAUCUGGAGGAACACCGGUGGCGAAGGCGACGCUCUGGGCCGGUACUGACACUGAGGAGCGAAAGCGUGGGUAGCAAACAGG